CCUACGGGGGGCAGCAGUAGGGAAUAUUGCUCAAUGGGGGAAACCCUGAAGCAGCAACGCCGCGUGGAGGAUGAAGGUUUUCGGAUUGUAAACUUCUUUUGUUAGAGAAGAUAAUGACGGUAUUUAACGACUAAGCACCGGCUAACUCCGAGCCAGCAGCCGCGGUAAUACGGAGGGUGCAAGCGUUACUCGGAAUCAUUGGGCGUAAAGGGCGCGUAGGCGGGAUAGCAAGUCAGAUGUGAAAUCCUAUGGCUUAACCAGUGAACUGCAUUUGAAACUGUUAUUCUAGAGUAUGGGAGAGGUAGGUGGAAUUCUUGGUGUAGGGGUAAAAUCCGUAGAGAUCAAGAGGAAUACUCAUGGCGAAGGCGGCCUGCUAGAACAUAACUGACGCUGAGGCGCGAAAGCGUGGGGAGCAAACAGGAUUAGAUACCCUUGUAGUC
rnacentral:rRNA from 1 species